GCCGAGGUGGCGGAACAGGCAGACGCGCUACCUUGAGGGGGUAGUGCCCGAAAGGGCGUGGGGGUUCAAAUCCCUUCCUCGGCACCA
rnacentral:tRNA from 1 species